rnacentral:lncRNA from 1 species
AAGGAAGUUAGUUUAAAAAGGGAAAGGGACCAAUUAGAGGGGGAGAACUCUAGAAGCGGGAGAAUGGCAGCAGGGGAGAGGAAGAAAAGAAGAGAUGCGGGAAAGAAGAGGAAAUUGGGGGGAAAAGGAGGACAAAUAAGAAAAUACAAGGGGGAGAGGCAGGUCAAAAGAAAGAAGGAAAAAGAAAAAAGAAAAAAAAGGGGGAGAUGGCGUUGGCCAAGAGGGGGAUUACAAGGAAUCCCACUGCACCGAACCUAUAAACCGGAAUAAGGAGGAAAGAAGAACGGGAAAGAAGGGGGAAACAAAGAGGGAAACUGUACCCCAGCUUUAGAGAGAGGUUGAAGGAAGUAAAGAAGGAAGUGUAGAACACGAUGUCUGAAGAAGCAAAGAGAAUCAUAACGAAGGUAUGAUUCCUUUUGUCGACCUGCAACAUUGGUAAAAACUCCUAGCUCUCUUUGUUCUUUCCAUAAUUGCUUUGAAUCAAUCUUCUUAUUACUUUCAAUUUUAUACAUUGGGUGUGUUGAUCAAAUUAUCAUGUUUUAGGGUUUGGGAAAAAGGGUCAAUUCUUGUUUAUUGUUGACAUAAUUGAAAUCAAAGUUAUAAAUAUGAUUGAAUUGUAUAGAAGUAUUCUAGAAGUUACGUUUUGGAUUAGAAGAAUUUGGGUUCUAAGUUGCAAGAACUUAUGUGUCUGUAGAGAAAAGCUAUGUUUCAGUAGCUUACUUUGGCUCUUGAUUUCUAUGUCCUAAUGGAUUCCUUUUGAUCCAUUAUUAUGUGUUUUGAAACUAGACAUGUCAAUGAUCAAAGCCCAUCUGAUUUCAAAUAAUUCUGUUAAGUUUUGAUAUGUCAAAACCAUGUACAAAUUUGAGUCACGAAGCUGCCAAACAACAGCAAAUACUGGAUUUUCAGUUUCGGGGUUCUAUUUUGUAUCUUGCAUAACUUUCAAAUCAAAACCCCGUUUCUUAUAAAUCUUAGAUGUUUUUAAUGUACUCAAAACAAGCUUCGAAUCUCAUGUAAGUUUACAUCAUUUGGUAUAGUUAUGGGUGUUCAAAAUCGGGCUUAAUCUUGGUUGACUAAGACUGUUUUUCUGCAGCUUUUGUGGAGAUAAGGCUGUUGCUUUUGCAAUAUCAUUUCUUCUUACAACUUUAAUUCUAAUUUACUUAUCUAUUUUGAGUUUGUGCUAAAACCACAUGAUAAGGUUACGUAUUGGGUUCCAAAAGAACCACUUUCUUAUAUAAUGAUGUGCCAAUGUAUUUAUGUAUUCUUUACCUAUUCAGGUUGUGUAUACACAUAUUUGUAUAUUCGUGCAUAUGCAUGCAAGUUCUUGAACUACACCAAAAUAGCCUUUACGUUCACAAUUCUUUUUCAUAUUUGCUAUGGCUGUUGGGUAGUUACAACUUUACCGAUCAAAGCAUUUCUUUAAAGUCAGAAACAAUGAAUAUUAUGUAGGUGUGUAUUAUAUGAUUCCAUCCAUUGGCUUAUAAGAUAAAUUUGAGUAAAGUUGUGAUAUGAUUGUAAGCUUAAUUAUUUUAUUGUGUUGGUGCAUUUUUAUACCUAUUGAAACACAUCAUUACUAAUGGUCCAGAAUUAUUCCUUCAUGUGUAUUUACAACGAUUUAUUUUAGAUCAACCAAAAAGGGCAUUGAAUUUGGAUAUUGUUACAUUAGUAAUCCAAAGUACUUUCAUUAGGAUUAAAAUUCAAGUCAUGCAUUUAGUAGUAUCUUGCAUUUGUGAAAUAGAAUUUGGCCAUGAUGGUGGAUCCUUGUGUUAGUAACUAAGAGCAAUGCUUAGGAAUCCAGGUAAGGAAAAUACAUCAUACCUUUAUGGAGAUGAUGAGGUUUAGAUAUACCUGGUACAUUUAGUAGGUACCAUAUGCUUGCUUGGAUUCCGUUAAGUGAUGGUCCGGAAUCAUAUGCUUGUUUGGAUUUCGUUGAGUGAUGAUAGGAGCAUAUUUAUACGACUUAGUUAGCUUGUUUUCUUGCUUUUAAUUAGCUAAACUAUGAUAAUUAUAGUGUUUAAAGUUAUUUUCGUGCAAUUUCAGGUUUUAGUGUCAAAGUAUGCAAAAAGAAGCAAUUUGGAACAUUCUAGAGCAUUUUUGGGCCAAGAUUGGAUUGUGCAAGCAUGGAGGCAUGAGGAUGGACGAAUUUGAAGACAAAAGAGGCUAUGAACAUGCUAAAAAUCUGGUGAAACAAAUACAAGUUGCAAGAAGGGAUAAAUUUCUAGAAUGAUUGACCAAAACUUCACUCAAAACCAAGAAAUUCUUCAAUGCCGUGGGCAUUGAUUCACUUUCACCAGAAAUUUGAGUGAUGAUGUAAUGCUUAAAUCACCAUGACAUGUGAGUGGAUGAUGCAAUGCUUAACUCACCAUGACAUGUGAAUGGAUGACUCAAUACCUAACCCACCAACAAUUCCCACUCUUUGCCUUGCUCACCUACUCAAUUCCACCAGAAUUUUGUGUUAAACAAGUCCAUCAUUUUCCUAUAAAUACCAUGGCAGCAACCUCAUUCAAAUCAUCCAGAAAUUAACCAUUCUCCAAGCCUUCCCUUGCCUCUCCCCUACAUAUCUAAACCUUCCCCAUCCAUUCCUCCAUAUAACCAACCAUUCAACCACCAUAACCACCUUGUGCCGCCACCAUUGAAGGAGAGGAUGAGUAGUGCCGUGCUUAUGCAAUCUGCAACUAUUAGAGUGUUUGGAAUUCUUUCUUCUUUUAAUUCUAUGUUCAUGUUUAAUUUAACUUGCUGUUCAAUUAUGUUAAACAUGUGGAACUAAUUUCUUUUUAGUUAGAGGCAAAUUUGAAGCCAUGGACAUAUGUUGGUUAUGAUUUGUUUUACUCCAGUUAUGAAUUCAUGAACUUUAGAUGUGGUUUACUUUUCUGUUUUGAUUAAGAACUUGUUUAUGUAUGUGGGUUGAGGGUCGACACUUAAUUUGCAUGCCUAAACUUGAUGCUAGGAUAUAAGGGAAUUUCACUUAAUCGUUAUGAACUUAUAUUCAUGAGUAGUAAAGAUCGCUAGUCACGAUUGUGUUUAAGUAAACCAUAGGCUGGAUUAACAUGCGUAUUCCAUAGUUAUGAAUGCCUAGUCAAUGUUUAUGAUUUCCGUUGAACUUAAUGAUCUUUGUUGAAUGUCUCUAUCAUGCGUAUUCCAUAGUUAGGGACUUUGAUGAGGAAUAAUUUGGUUGUAAUGCGUAUUCCAUUCAAUCCAAUGAAUCUAGGAAAAUCUAAGAGUUAAUUUAAGCGGACCUAAUUAACUUGGAACAUUGUCAUUCAUCGUUUGUUGAAGUCAUAACUGGGAAUCAAAUUAUAUGCAUAUGUUCAUGUGUGGAUAAGGAACCCUCUAACUAGUUUCUCAUCAUUCUAUUUCAUCACAAUCUGUUUUGUUUUAAGUUUAUUUUCAAAGUUUAAAGUUUUAAAGUUCAAUUUUCGUCAAAAACAAAACCCCUUGCUUUUUAAGUCUUGCUUUUAGAGUCAAAAACUUGUUUCCUUUAAAUCUUUUGAGUCUUUUAAAGUUAUAUUUUCGUCCAAAUCACUUGUUAGGUCUAGAAUUGAAUCUUUUUUAUUGUUAUUUGCUGUUUUGAGUAUUUUAAGUUAGUUUUGAGUUUAUAGAGUCUAGUUUAGUGUUUUUGAGUCUUAUAUUUGUUGAUUAGCAUCCCUAGUUAAUCCCCGGUCUAGAACGAUCCCUACUUACAUCAUUACUACAAUUGUCAUCAAUAGGGUUUAAUUUGUGUGUCAAGUAAUUUUCACAUCAAAUUUUGGCGCCGUUGCCGGGGAUUAGCAACUUUGCUAAUCCCUUUAUUUUUGUUUUUGUUUAUGUUUAUAUUGGUGUUUGUGUAUUUUACUUUUGAUAUUUGAUUUAUUUUUCUUUCUUUGAUUUUAGGUACAAAUGGAGCGAGACAUGGCACUUGCGACCAUUCAAGCUCAAUUGGCACAGCUCACUGCUCAAUUGACUCAUAAUGCCGAACGGACCACAAUGCCAAGUGUCCCUACACUUGAUGUGCCCUAUGGGCAAGGAUAUCAAAGUCCUCAAUUUUAUGCCAAUGAAGAUGUUUGGGGAUAUCAAGGCCAUAACCAAUCAAGGGGCAACAUAUUUUCCAACGCUUACAAUUCAGAUUGGAGAGGUAAUUCAGAUUAUAUGUGGGAUGAACCUCAACAAUUUCAACAAGGUGGAUAUUGGUAGCAAGACAAGUUCUAUUCAAGACCUAUGCAGCCACCACAGCAUCCCCCACAACAAUUCCAAUCAAAUCAAAGUAUGCCCGUGAAUUAUAAUGAAAUUCUUGAAGGACUAAUUUCUUUGGCGCAGGGUUUUCAAAAAGAAGAACAAUUUUCGCCAUCGGAAGAGUUCUAUCAGUGGCCAUAUGAACCGUCACAGCCACCACAACAAUCAACCCAAUUCAAUUCAGGUACGUCCUUGGAUAAUGAUACACUUAAUAAGUUACUCACCUCUUUGAAUCAGGGAGUAGAAAAUCAAAACCAGGAGAUGCAAGACCGAGUCAAAAGAGUGGACGAAUUGGAGAUGCAAGUUGGGUAGAUUGUGGAAUUCAUGGCACAGAUUCGAGAUCAAAGUGAACUUUCCAACUCAAACAUUGCAAAUUCAAAAGCAGAAAGUGAAAUCGAUGAAGCCAUCACUUUGGAAGGUGACAUGAAGGAUGAAGCUGUCCCAGAACCAUCCAAACACAGCCCGAACAUGGAUGAAUUGCUGCUGCAAGCAGAAGAGGAGGAGGACGACCUGGGCAGUUAGAAGAAUUCUUGCUGCAAGCUCCUCAAAUCCCUAUGUCAUCCAACUCAGGUGAGGAAGUUCUAAAUUCACUUCAUUCUAACAUUAUUCCACCGAAUGUCCUUUGUCCUUGCAGGUUUUUGAUUCCAAAUAUCAAAGAGAGUGAAAAAGACGUUGUGGAAGCUCUUCCAAAGGUGCAAAGUGAUAUCCCAAUUCUUGGUGCACCAAAACAAGUUCCCGAUGGUAUUGAAACGUUCAAAGAACCUUGCACACCAAGAAAAGGGAUUCAAGAAAAUGAAGUGGUUGAAGCAUAUCAAGAAUACAUCCAAGAGGCUGUGCAUGAGACAAUCAAGCCCAAAGCAGUUGAGUUUGAUAACACGGGACAAGCCAUAACCAUCAUAGUAAACCUGGCCAAGUUCAAAGUCCCGGAAAUGUUCAAAGAUGUGGUGUUUGUCAUUGAGUUUGUGUCGGAAAAAGAAAGUAAGCCAUCUUCUCCAAUUUCAAUUUUAAUUUAUACUAACAUGUUUCUGAUUUUGAUGAUUUAGGCACCCACUCUUGAAUUUAAACCAUUGCCGAAUCAUUUCAAGUAUCACCUCCCAUUAAAAGAUAAAUUCCAUGCUUUGGAGCCGAGUGGAGUUUAAAGGAAAGAUUCGUCUGGCUAAAGACGUUAAAUCAAGCGCUUCUUGGGAGGCAACCCAAACAUUCAACGAAGGGAGACUUUGGAAUCGCUAACCAAAUCAGAUUUGCAUUCUUACACCCUUAUCUUUACUGCUUUCAUUUUGUUUUGUUCAGUUAGUUGUGUUAUUUGGUUGAUUUCUGUGAGUUUGUGUUAUUUAGUUUAAGUGUGGGGAAGGUUAAACAAAGUCUUUUUACAUUGAUUUACAUAUUUUACAUUGAUUUAAAAAUAAAAAAUUAAAAAAAAAUUAAAAAAAAAAAAACAUAAAAGUAAAAAUAUUUUACAAUGAUGUGUAAACUAAUAGCAUUCAUUGGUCAGGUGGUGCUUCAGUAGUCGACGGAGCUUCAGCAGUCGGCGGGGCCACGAAAGGAGGAGGUAUCGGAGGUUGAUCAGUUAGAGCUUCACUACGCGGUGCCGCCCCAGAAGACGAAGGCAGAUGCGGUUGGAACAAACCCACAAACCUCCGAUGAUCAAGUAAAAUUUGACCAUCAGUGUCUUGCAGCUGGUCAAUUUUCCUCUUCAUGUUUGUGGCAUAACUGUGUGCAAGCUUGUGCAAUUGUUUAUUUUCAUGCUUGAGUCCUCUAAUCUCCUCUUUGAGACUCUGUAUUUCAGCCACCAACGAUUCAACGUGACGGGUUCGAGCAUAUAGGCAUUGGGCCAUGUUAGACACAGAACCCGCACACUGCACGCUAAGAGCCAGAGACUCCUUAACUGCCAAUUCAUCAGACCGUCUAGCGAGCAGUCUGUUAUCUCUGGGGGUGACAAGGUUCCGGGCCACCACCGCAGCAGUCAUGUCAUUUUUCAUCACCGAAUCCCCAACAGUAAGAGGACCAGUAGGGGAUAUGAAAGAUGGGCGCCAUAUGUUAUCUGGUGAAGGCAGGGCUGCCUCUUCACCACGGUUCAAGUCAAAACGACGAUCGGAAAGGCCAGACAUUUUCUGAAGGUGUUGAGAAAGAAGAGAUCGGACAGAUUAAGAUUUCGGAAGUGCAAGAAGGGAGUGUUUACAGGAGGGAGCUCAAGUGUGUUGUGGAACAAAUUUAACGCCUCUAUAAAAAAGAAGAAAUCAAAGAGGCGCUCCUCAGAAAUUGAAGAGGCAUCCUCUCGCAAAUCGAAGAGUCGGGGCUCCUUUCUCAAACGCCUGAUUCUUUUCUCAAAAGAGGAGUUUCCUUUCUCAAAAGCCGGAUUCUUUUCUCAAAAGAGGCGUUUCAUUUCUCAAAAAAAAUGGGCUUGCUCAGAAACCACGAGCCGAACCCCGGAUUUCAAAAGAUCAAUUUGUCCAGACGUGUUGUCACUCGUCACAUGCAACUGGCAGCUUUGCGGAAAUUACGGGCAACUUUGUCAGAAAGCGCGUAAUUUGUACUAUUUAUCCAUCCACCGGCUGCCGACAAUGAGUGAGAGAAUAGUUCCGGUUGUGAAGAAAAGUCCCAUAAAUAUCUACCUUCGCCUUCCACAGCAAAGGCACACCCUCUCAGCACUUCUUCAUCUCCGAGAAUGCAUUCCCAAAGAACCCUCUCGAGUCACUCUGUAUUCCUCAUUCCCUGGGAUACCCCUGCAAACAACCCAUCCAAAGCACAAGUAUUUCAUAUCAUCAAGGUUGAGAGCACAAGGAUCUCAUAUCAUGCUUUCUCCCUGUCCUUUCUCCAGCCAGCACCUGCUCUCGAGUACUCAUCAUCUUAUGCUUCUGCUUCGUCUCUCACGUAUAAGGGAAGUGAAGAUGAUACCUCGAAGCAUGUGGAGACAACGUGCUGAUUCAUCCUCAACUAGGGACAAGGAGAAAGAAAGCAAGAGGUGGGCACUUGGAAAGAUUGAAGAAAGAAACAGACCAACACCUCUCCCUCGUGCCUGCCCGUCGUGCAGAAGAAACAAGCAGAGAAGAAUGCAGCUUGCACAAUCAUCCCAGCAGAAGGAGUCUGAGAUGAAGAACUAGAGAAGCUGCCACAUCUGCUUGGAGACAAAUAAGGAACUGCAACAUCACCAAAGAGCAAAGCUUCGCCGUACAAUAUCAUCAAAUCAUCACUUGCAAGUAAAAAGCUAAGUGUCACCCCGUUCAAGAGGAAAGCUGUGGAAAGUCAACAAGCACGACCAAUGAUCACUUAUUAGUUCUAUUCAUUGUCUUUUAUCGUGAUUUUCAAUUUUUCGUUUGCAAUUUUUUUUACAUUUUCUUGUGUUACUUAACUGAAUUAUUUCUUUUCUUUGCAGGAAUUUUUUGUUAUUUCCACCCUUGAAGUUGAUUGCAGAAUUUUAGCUUGGGGGGGUCAUCGCUUGGUUUUACUGCAAACUAGGGAAGUUUUCAGUCCAAUUGCUUUAUUUUGUUUCUUAUUAUUUAUUUUAUUUUUAUUUGCAUUAUAGUGUUUUCUGACAUUGAGGACAAUGUUUGGUUUAAGUGUAGGGGGUAAACAAGCUAUUUUUGCAUGAAAUUCGUGGGAUUUUAUCACCUAUCACUUCACAUGUUGUUUCUCACUGUUUUAAAGUGUUUUUAGUGUUUUAAUGUGUUUUAGUGUUAUAUAACAGAAAACCCUAGAAAAAUUCGAAAAAGUUUGAAAAAUACCAAAAAGAGUCGUUUUUGAGUCAUUUUUGUGUUUUAGGGUACCUUCCAACACAAUGAUGAGGAUUUGGUUUUUCAUUGCAUAACUGUUGAAGUAAGUUACAAUCAUGGAUGAAAGUUUGAUAUGCUCUUUGGUUUAUGCUUAGUUGUAAUUCAUGAAUUCACAUGUAAUCAAAAGAAAAAUUAGUUUUUGUAACAUGCUUGAAGGAAGAAACUCAAACUAACGCUACAACCCUGAGAGACUUGAGCUUUUAACGUUCUUUGGAGAGUUAAUAAUCUGUGCAUUUGUUGUCUUCUAAAGUCGUUGCAUGAUCUCAUUAUUCUUUGCUUGGUUACUACUUAGAAGGCGUUUCAUCAUUUAGUUCCAAAUACUAGAACUCAUGCCCGUUUCAUUCAAAGCAUAAAAUUGAUUCGCAUAACACAUAACAAGAUGAAGUUCUUAGUAAACCAAGAACCAAAUAGCCGCACCCCAUGUUCAUUUGUUUUGUAGGUUUAAGCCCCGUUGAGCCUUGUUUAGCCUAUGUUCUUUGUUAACCCACGUUAUCCUUACCUAGCCUAGAAUAGGACCAUCCAUGCCUUUGUUCUUAAAGCAUAGUGAACAUGACUUAGAAUGAAUUCCUUUUGAUUAUUCUUGUGCAGAAAAACAAGUGUGGGGGAAGGAAUUUAUGUGUGGGAAUUUGUGCCAAAAGCAAGAAUUGGGUACGAAAAAAAAAAAAAAAUUAUGGCAAAGAGGUCAAAAUAAGAAAGAACUCACAAGUGUUGGUUGUUGAAGAAAGGGUCCAAAAAGUUAAAUUAGACCCUAAAUAUUGUGUAUUUCACCCCCUUGUGUGUCUAAGUGAUUUUCUGCACGCAAAAGUGAAUUCUAAGUGUCAAAUUCAUUACUUGUUUGCUAUCGCUUUAAGAACUUUUGUUUAUCCUUAACCUUUCUUUGUUAGCCAAUACCCCUUAGCCCCGUUACAAUCCUUAACUUCUAUCUUGAGUGUUAUGUAUUUCAAUAUGUGGAGUUUGGGAUUGGUUUGAGCAUAUGGUGUCCCUGGUUCUCGCAUCUAAGUAGUAGCGUUCCAUUUAUGAGAUCAUAUCUAUAAAUGCUUAAUCAUUCCAGAAAAGUGCUUCUUUUAUAACAUGUGUGAGUGUUCGUUUCCAUGUUUACAUCAAUCUUCUCACAUAUACUUAGUAUAGGGAGUGUAGUUAGAAAAUCCGUGUGAAAAUAAGAGUGUAUCCAGUAAGGAAUUGAGUGGAUUCUCUAAGGCAUGUUACUACGUCCAUAAUGUUGUUUUAAACGAUUAAAUGUGAGCUAGUGAAUGGUAACUAUGAUUAAGUAUAUGCUCAAGAGUAGGGAUGACUAAAAUCUGUGGGAAUAAUGAUCUUUGGCAUGUUAUGUAUCGUUGGAAAAUCCCUGUGUAGCAAAUGUUGGAAGGUUAGGUCAUGUUUUGUUUGUUUUAUUUUGCUCGAGGACUAGCAAAAGCUAAGUGUGGGGGAAAUUGAUAGGAGCAUAUUUAUACGACUUAGUUAGCUUGUUUUCUUGCUUUUAAUUAGCUAAACUAUGAUAAUUAUAGUGUUUAAAGUUAUUUUCGUGCAAUUUCAGGUUUUUAGUGUCAAAGUAUGCAAAAAGAAGCAAUUUGGAACAUUCUAGAGCAUUUUUGGGCCAAGAUUGGAUUGUGCAAGCAUGGAGGCAUGAGGAUGGACGAAUUUGAAGACAAAAGAGGCUAUGAACAUGCUAAAAAUUUGGUGAAACAAAUACAAGUUGCAAGAAGGGAUAAAUUUCUAGAAUGAUUGACCAAAACUUCACUCAAAACCAAGAAAUUCUUCAAUGCCGUGGGCAUUGAUUCACUUUCACCAGAAAUUUGAGUGAUGAUGCAAUCCUUAAAUCACCAUGACAUGUGAGUGGAUGAUGCAAUGCUUAAAUCACCAUGACAUGUGAAUGGAUGACUCAAUACCUAACCCACCAACAAUUCCCACUCUUUGCCUUGCUCACCUACUCAAUUCCACCAGAAUUUUGUGUUAAACAAGUCCAUCCUUUUCCUAUAAAUACCAUGGCAGCAACCUCAUUCAAAUCAUCCAGAAAUUAACCAUUCUCCAAGCCUUCCCUUGCCUCUCCCUACAUAUCUAAACCUUCCCCAUCCAUUCCUCCAUAUAACCAACCAUUCAACCACCAUAACCACCUUGUGCCGCCA